UACGAAGGGGGCAAGCGUUGUUCGGAUUUACUGGGCGUAAAGAGCACGUAGGCGGAUUGUUAAGUUAGGGGUGAAAUCCCAAGGCUCAACCUUGGAACUGCCUCUGAUACUGGCAAUCUUGAGAUCGAGAGAGGAGUGUGGAACUCCGAGUGUAGAGGUGAAAUUCGUAGAUAUUCGGAAGAACACCUGAGGCGAAGGCGGCACUCUGGCUCGAUACUGACGCUGAGGUGCGAAAGCGUGGGGAGCAAACAGGAUUAGAUACCCCCGUA
rnacentral:rRNA from 1 species